rnacentral:lncRNA from 1 species
UCCAUAUCCUCGAUUGCUAUAUCAACAAGACCAAUCCUAGCCUGCAGUCAAUCUUGUAGUCUGAAGACAAGACGAGAGAAAGAGAGCAAGAGACAUCAGUGACAAAGAGUAAAGCAUUCAUCAGUCUGAAAGAUGAAGAGGUCACGCGUACUAAGAAAUGCUGAUCGAGAGGAGAAAGAAAAUCUUCUCAAACUUAUGAGUGACCAACCAACAACUGGGUGCUAUCUUUGUAAACUCAAAAAAUGUCAAAGAUCUUAAUGCUACGAUUCUCUUGAUCUACAUCUUCAAGACCACGACUGAUUGAUGAAAGGCCAACAAGAGCAUUAAGCUGUUAGGAGCAAAAGUAAAGCCAUGCACAUCAAUACCCAAACUCAGUAUAUCUUUAAUAAAUGACUAUUUCGUAACUGACAGUAAAAAGGUACGGUUCCUCACUAUUAUAAAUGUACAUCAUUAUUGCAUCUUCUUAUG